UCGGGUGUGGUGCACGGUGCACGGCAGUUUUAAUUCAGAGGAUUCUGUCGAGCUAUAAGCUGCAGGAUGGGGUUCGACUCCCCGCGCCCGAA